GCCUUCGUGGUGUAGUGGUCAGCACGCUCGGCGCGUAUUCGAGAGGUCCGUGGUUCGAUUCCUGCCGACGGCA
rnacentral:tRNA from 1 species